GACGAACGCUGGCGGCGUGCUUAACACAUGCCAGUCGAACGGAAAGGCCUGCUUUCCCUUGUGGAUUGCGGGUGCUCGAGUGGCGAACGGGUGAGUAACACGUGAGUGAUCUGCCCCCAACUUGGGUAUAAGCCUGGGAAACUGGGUCUAAUUCCCGAUAGGACUGCAGGGUGGUGCCUGUGGUGGCAAACGAUUUUCUAGUGGUUGGGGAUGAGCUCGCGGCCUAUCAGCUUGUUGGUGGGGUAAUGGCCUACCAAGGCGGCGACGGGUAGCCGGCCUGGGAGGGUGGACGGCCACAUUGGGACUGAGAUACGGCCCAGACGCCUACGGGAGGCAGCAGUGGGGAAUAAUGCACAAUGGGCGGAAGCCUGAUGCAGCGACGCCGCGUGGGGGAUGACGGCCUUCGGGUUGUAAACUCCUUUCGACCGCGAGGAAGCCACCUGGUUGGAAGGGUGGUGACGGUAGUGGUAGAAGAAGCACCGGCUAACUACGUG
rnacentral:rRNA from 1 species